AGCAAAAAAUGAUGAAAACACCUGGAUCUAAUGGUUAGAUGUGGAUUAUGUUCUAGAAUGGCCUUCAAAGUUCUCUUAUUGCU